GACGAACGCUGGCGGCGUGCUCAACACAUGCAAGUCGAACGGUAAGGCCCUUCGGGGUACACGAGUGGCGAACGGGUGAGUAACACGUGGGUGAUCCGCCCUGCACUUCGGGAUAAGCCUGGGAUACUGGGUCUAAGACCGUAUAGGACUCCGGCAUGCAUGGUCGGGGUAUGAACGCUUUUGCGGUGUGGGAUGGGCCCGCGGCCUAUCAGCUUGUUGGUGGGGUGAUGGCCUACCAAGGCGACGACGGGUAGCGGGCCUGGGAGGGUGACCGGCAACAAUGGGACUGAGAUACGGCCCAUACUCCUACGGGAGGCAGCAGUGGGGAAUAUUGCACAAUGGGCGAAAGCCUGAUGCAGCGACGCCGCGUGAGGGAUGACGGCCUUCGGGUUGUAAACCUCUUUCAGCACAGACGAAGCGCAAGUGACGGUAUGUGCAGAAGAAGGACCGGCCAACUACGUGCCAGCAGCCGCCGUAA
rnacentral:rRNA from 1 species